rnacentral:rRNA from 1 species
UACGUAGGGUGCUAGCGUUGUCCGGAAUCAUUGGGCGUAAAGAGCGUGUAGGCGGUCCGGUAAGUUCGCUGUGAAAGUCGGGGGCUCAACCCUCGAAUGCCGGUGGAUACUGUCGGGCUAGAGUGCGGAAGAGGCGAGUGGAAUUCCUGGUGUAGCGGUGAAAUGCGCAGAUAUCAGGAGGAACACCUAUUGCGAAGGCAGCUCGCUGGGACGUAACUGACGCUGAGACGCGAAAGCGUGGGGAGCAAACAGG